AGCAGCCGCGGUAAUUCCAGCUCCAAUAGCGUAUAUUAAAGUUGUUGCAGUUAAAAAGCUCGUAGUUGAAUUUCGGGAUCAAUACGUCGGUCGUGCCUUCGGUACGUACUGGCGUCAUUGGUUUCUCCCUUCUGACGAACCAUGAUGUCAUUAAUUUGAUGUUAUGGGAAGUUAGGACUGUUACUUUGGAAAAAAUUAGAGUGUUUAAAGCAGGCAUUAGCUUGAAUACAUUAGCAUGGAAUAAUGAAAUAGGACGUUCGAACCUAUUUUGUGGUUUCUAGGAUUCAACGUAAUGAUUAAUAGGGAUAGUUAGGGGCAUUAGUAUUCAAUUGUCAGAGGUGAAAUUCUUGGAUUUAUUGAAGACUUAACUACUGCGAAAGCAUUCGCCAAGGAUGUUUUCAUUAAUCAAGAACGAAAUUAGGGGAUCGAAGACGAUCAGAUACCGUCGUAGUCUUAACCAUAAACUAUAGCCGACUAGGGAUCGGAUGAUGUAAUUUUUAAUGACUCAUUCGGCGCCUUA
rnacentral:rRNA from 1 species